UCUGUGUGUCUUGAUUAGUUUUGCUGAAGC
rnacentral:piRNA from 1 species